rnacentral:lncRNA from 1 species
GGGUUAUUACACGGAGCAAGUAAACAUUAUUUUAAACUGGAGGAUCUCACAUCUUUUGAUUUUGACUUCUUUUGUGAAGAAAUAGAAGAUGUUCCAGAGAGUGUUAACAUCACUGCGGAACUUUUUUGUUAUAAUGUUAAGAUUAGAAUAAACUCUAUCUCGGAACAGGUUCCUCCUGAUUCACUCUCUUCGAAUGAGGAAGGUGAUGAUGAAGAAGACGAUUGGGAGUAUCGGUCUGGACCUGGUGGUGGAUCACCCGCAUCGGAGAUUAGAAAGAGGGCAGGGCCACAAUCUGAUAGUCCAAAUGCAAGUAAGACUACUUCUGGGCCGCGUAGGGAGGAACCUCAAGAGAUAUGCCAGGAACCAAGUCCUGUUCUCAAUUGAAGUUCUACAGUGCCCUCAGACCUAGAGGUCGGUGCAGCGCCGCAGAUCUACGACAUCAAUCCACCUGCUGGGAUCUCAAUGUCUUUGAGGGAAGUCUUA